GGUUAAGUGAAUAAGGGCGCACGGUGGAUGCCUUGGCACUAGGAGCCGAUGAAGGACGGGACUAACACCGAUAUGCUUCGGGGAGCUGUAAGUAAGCUUUGAUCCGGAGAUUUCCGAAUGGGGAAACCCAGCAUCUUUUAUAGGAUGUUACUUUUCAGUGAAUACAUAGCUGAUUAGAGGUAGACGCAGAGAACUGAAACAUCUAAGU
rnacentral:rRNA from 1 species